UAAGUUUCCAUGGCUCCAGAUUGUUAUAUAUAUGUAUGUUUAUAUGCUGCCUUUAUUGAAUGUAUAUAUUAUAUAUUAUGUUACUUCUUACGAAUGUGUUAGGCACGUCGUAACCAAGAACAGAGAAUAAACAGCCAGCCAGACAGACCAUGUGACUCUUCAUUCUCCCAUUAAAUAACCCAAGAUACUACACAGAUGUGCACCGCAGAUAAAUAUUCCUGGAUAAUUAUACUUCCUCUUAUACUUCCGAAUAGCAAUUUUCCUUCUACAGUACCAAAGGUGUUUGUCAGCUUUAUAGCUGGAUGGCUGGUUACACUUUGCGCAAGUAACCUCACUUGGCAAAACACUGUGUUCGUGGAGAAAUUUCAUACUUCUUUGUCCUUACCAUAAUAUUCUUCAUGAAAUUUGGCAAUGGCUUGGAAAUAAUUAAUAUCAGUCAUUGCAUAAUGAAGACAUCUUGAAACUAAAUUCAAAUUCAAGUGGGUAGCGGUGGGGACCUAUAACAAAUUGUGAUUGAUUGGUUCAAAAUCAUACCCACCAAUCAACAACCAAAGAACAACUGCGCAUGUAACAGAUUCUCACAAAGAACAACUGUGCAUGUGUCAGACUCUAGCGCAUGUGGAAUGCAGCAUAGUAACCAACAAACAAACACACAGGAGCUGUCUCAGACAAUAAUAACAUCAAAAAGAUCUUAUUAAAAAUACCACGAUUUUCCAACAAUUUAUUGCGGUUAUCUCUUAAAGUAAUCAUAGACGGAAGAAAUGCCAUGGAAGAAACGCGUCUUAGAAUUGUCUAAACUACUGAUUCCAAAACUUAAAAUCCUAGAAAAUCGUUGGAUGACCAAACCGAUAACAAUACCUGCAAAAUUAUCAAGCAUCUGCGAGGUGAAAUACUGUAUGUGAGAAAGUAAGUUUUAAAUAUUAACCUUAAGUACUGUAUAUAAAAGCUUUAUCAAUAUGUAGUGGAUAUAGGUAUGACAGCUGUAUGCCAAAUAUCACACUGCUUAUAGUUAUGGCAGCAGUAUUGAUGGAUUGUGUUGUUAAUGAUUAGGUUAGGUUAAGUGAGAAAGAAGGCCAUCUGAGUAACCAUCAUUAGGUUGCCGUAUCAAUAGACAUUGACAUUUCACAUAUGGCUGUCAUACCUAUAUCUUGUGCCUUAUCAAUAGCAUACUGGAUGCAGGAAUGGUAACCAUAUUAACAGACUGUGGUUAAUGGUAUGGCAGAGAAUUGCGCAUGUGCAGAAUUGGGUAUAUGGUGCUUCCUUCCACAUGGGCAGGGACGUUAGGUUAGGUUGGUCAGAAAGAAGCCCAUCUUAGUAACUAUCAUUAGGUAAUUGGUAAUUAUUAUUGACUUCAUAGCCUUGAUUUUUCAUAGAAAACAAAUUUUAAAAUGCUGCAAUUUCACUGUUUUAUAGUGGAUGCUGUUGUAGUUAUGACAAAUGUGUUAUAAAGUGCUUAUUUAAAGGUUCAAGUUAAGUUAACCUAACUGUAAACGCCUUGGUUAAGGACGUUCAGGUGAUGGGCAAGUCGAAGGGAAUGAUUCAAAAACACCUUUUGACGAAUUCAGUAUUUAUUGAUGUGGUCAAAACAUACAGAGGAGAAGGGGUUCAUAAUAUUACAUGGUGACGGGUAGAAAUUCACCAUUUUUUCAAAGUCGCCAGCAGGACUAGUAGAUUUGAAAAAUUACUAGUCCUUAUAAAUUUUUACUAGCCCUUAAACAAUUUGUCAAUAAACAUUAAACAUUGGCACUUACCGGGUUUAUACAAAGUUCUAUUUACUAUGUGACAUUUAUUUACUAGUAGAAACUAUGUUAAAUCAUAAACCAACGCCGGAAUUAUCACAUAUUAACUACAUUAACUGCAUGAAGCACAGAUUUUUCAUUGCAUUUGAACAAGCAUUUCCUGUACAUGCUCCUCGUUCAACUCAUUGUUGUCGUCCAGAUCUUCCACUGUGCUGCAGCCAGCAGUGUGUGCGUAGCCAUCCACACGGCGGGCCCCAGUUGCUGGCAAACUGGCAAUGGCUUUGUCCGGAUUUAAAUUGCCAACACUCUGUUUGCAACUGAACCACCAUGAGGUUCGUCAGGUGGUUAUCAGUGAGACGACUGCGCCAGUCCGUCUUAAUGAGUUUGACCUAGCAAAAACCUCGUUCAGCAUCAGCCGAACUAGCUGAAAUGGAAAGCAGUAGGUCAACCAGAUGGAGAAAUGAGGCACACCUUUCUCCGUGUGAUUGGUUGAUUUGUUGCCAAGACAGUCUUGAAACAAGUGAUGUCUUACUCUUGUAAAUUUAACUUUGAGCACAGUCCAUUCAUCCUCUACCAAAGUAGGAUUCACCUCUGCCUCCAUCAGUGUUUUCUCAAUAGCCUUGGCUAAUGCUUGCAUAGCGUUAUCCCCGAAAUCUUCAUUCCCACUGUGCUCUGCAGGCCACAAUUUGAAAUUCAGAAUCCAUGUGUUCUGGAGAAUCGUACUGGCCAUGUCAAUAAAUCUUAUGUUUAGACUUGAAAUCAGUGAUGUCAGCAUAUCACACCUUGCAGUCUUGAAAGUGUUGCUUCUACCACUCAGCUUCUCUCCUUGGAACAUGGUCGUGUCACCUUCCAUAAUCCUUCUCGGGCUGGGUCCUGGCCAAGUCAAAUAUUUAAGUACAUCAACUGCAGGCUGAAUUUCAUUCACGAUAGCAGAAAUAUUGGUUUGACCAUGCUGGAACAGCUCUAAGAGGCACCGGACCAUAUCAAGUAGGAGGUGGAGGUACUGGACUAUGUCAGCACAAGUUAGAAGGAGCAGGUAGUUCUUAGCUUUUCUGUAUGAAUCCUUGUGGUUUGCGGGAUCAUCAGGGUUCUGUAUCUGCUGCAUGUGGAGUACAAUAGCCUUGUAACUCUUCAGUAGAUGCUCCAAUGCCUGCAGCAUAUGCGGGAGCCACCGUGUACCACCCACACGUGCUGGUACCUGACAUAUCUUAUGAACACACUUCAACAUGCUCCUGUUGAGAGAACUCUUUUCGUAGAACAGGUAUAUGCCUAGCAGCAGUAAGUCAACCUUUUUGGCUAGUGGAACAUUUUUUUUCUGCAUCCUUGUAAGUGAGUUCAAUUUUAUGUGCAGUGCAAUGGAUGCCUUCCAACUCUGGUUUCUCUAGAUCUCUUCUCAGUCGAACUACUAAACCAUUUCUGCACCCAAUCAUAAUGCUGGCCCCAUCUGUACCAAUGCCAACUCGCUUCUGCUUCCAAGUUUCGCUCAUUGUAGAGCAAACACAUUUCUUGAUAGAUGCAGCAUCACCUCUCUCAAUAUUUUUUACAGUAACAAAGUUUACCUGUAUAUUUCCUUUAUAGGCCGAGCGAGUUUAGAGGAUCUCCACUUCAGUAACAGAUCUAUCAGUAAUUCCAUCGUAGAUUAAAGACAAAAACUUGACACAGUUGUACUCUUGUUUAAUUUGAAGCCGUUGCUCAUCAGCAAUGGCAUGAAUAAACAAUGGGGCACUCUUCUCAUUUAUGUAUGUAUUACCUACAUCAAGGCCCUUGGAUUUGUCUAGUUCACAGAGUGCCAAAUGAUCAGUAUAUGUAUAUAUUUUAUUUUCAUUUUCAUAUAAAGUGUUAUAUACAGAAAAUGGGUAUCCCUUCUGCUUGCAAUACCGGUGAUACAAUUAAGAUAACUAACAUUAAUAGUGUAUUCUCUAUAUGAAGCUCUUAUACACAUUGAGUGUGUCUUACCACUGUCAUUGGCCCACUCGCCCAUCGGGUGAUCUCAGACCAGCCAAAGAGUAAAAUCUUGUCGCCCUUAUGUUAUUUUUUUUUCUCGAGCGACCGGGCGUAUGUGAAUUUCUACCCCUGGGUGAUCCAUCUGACACAUAAUUAGUUAGUCUCACACAAUUUUAACUUAAUUACAAUUUAUUAAACAGCAACAUAACACAAAGUUCAUAACUCUAUUAAUCUUAGCUACGCUUCAUUCCACUUUGUCUUAUUACUCCAGAUAAGGCAGAAACGAGUAGGAAUAAUUUGUCAACAAUAUUUAAGUACUGAGGGGUAUGUCAUCACUUAGUCUGUACUUACAAGUGCAGGUCAAUGCAGAUCAGUAUGGUGUUCCAAGAGACAACGGUACUGCAUAAAUUGUCCCAGCACAAAUUCUCGGACAGGAUUGUGAGUCGGUGUUCACCAGUGUGAGCAGAGGGCUGGUCUUCACAGCAUCACUAGAGAAGGCGACCUCCCUCAUGGUGGGGCGGGCAGCACCGCCACCCGCCGAAGACAGUCCACUCGGCAGAACCAGGACUUGUCUGAAAACACUUAUACACCUGGCGAGGUCACAGGUUGAAAGAUUUAAUGCCAGCUCUAUAGUUGAAGCCAGUGGCGAUAACACUCCCGGCGUUGGGCAAUCGCCCAAGAUUUACGGUGUGGCGUGUUCAAUAAGGCAUACAUGGGUCACUGGCCUACUGAACUCCCCAGAUACGGUUCGCACACACACCUGGCGCACUAGAGCAUUGGUUCCCGGGACUGCUGCCGUGACCCUGCCCAAUGGCCAUGUGUUGCGAGGAAGAUCUUCUCCGGUGACGAGGACAAGGUCUCCUUUCUGGAGAUUACGGGUUGGUUCUAUGUACCUCUGUCUUUUGCAGAGUAGUGGAAGGUACUUCCUCACCCAGCGUUUCCAGAAGCGGUCUGCUAGGAACUGCACAUGCCACCACCGUUGUUGAUAUGAGUCCUUCAGAAGACAUCCUCCCACCUCAAGACAGCAUGCGGGUAUGGAAGAACUCCUCAAAGCUAGCAUCUCUGCUCCGGUUGGCAUGUUUGCUCAUUGUGGUCAGCCUGGCGGCGGUGCCUUUGAUCAACCUGAUACGUCUUUACCCUGCUGGGGCUAUACUGAGCGCCGUGGCAUACACAACUGUCCUAUUCGCAGCAUUUUUGGCAGAACAUGAUGCCAUUCAGAAGCUUCCCUGUGGUCGACCAUGUGACGUGACACGCAAAUAGUAAUGCUGGAACCUGAUAGCCCGCACUGGGCAUUCAAACAAUGCUGCGAAAAGGCAGGCAUUCCUGAACGUCAACCGGGGCGCCCUAGAUGAUCGUUCCGGAACUUCAACUGGGGCGUAGGCGAUAAGGACAAGUUUUUCAACUCUUAUUUUCAGAAAAUUGAAAGCCUGGCUUUUUUUGUCCAGUGCCUUUA